rnacentral:rRNA from 1 species
GACGAACGCUGGCGGCGCGCCUAACACAUGCAAGUCGAACGGAGCUGCGAGAAGCUUGCUUUUCUUAGCUUAGUGGCGAACGGGUGAGUAACGCGUGAGUAACCUGCCCUGGAGUGGGGGACAACAGUUGGAAACGACUGCUAAUACCGCAUAAGCCCACGAUCCGGCAUCGGAUUGAGGGAAAAGGAUUUAUUCGCUUCAGGAUGGACUCGCGUCCAAUUAGCUAGUUGGUGAGGUAACGGCCCACCAAGGCGACGAUUGGUAGCCGGACUGAGAGGUUGAACGGCCACAUUGGGACUGAGACACGGCCCAGACUCCUACGGGAGGCAGCAGUGGGGGAUAUUGCACAAUGGGGGAAACCCUGAUGCAGCGACGCCGCGUGGAGGAAGAAGGUUUUCGGAUUGUAAACUCCUGUCGUUAGGGACGAUAAUGACGGUACCUAACAAUAAAGCACCGGCUAACUACGUG